CUUAAAUUGAAGAGUUUGAUCAUGGCUCAGAUUGAACGCUGGCGGCAGGCCUAACACAUGCAAGUCGAGCGGUAGCACAAGAGAGCUUGCUCUCUGGGUGACGAGCGGCGGACGGGUGAGUAAUGUCUGGGAAACUGCCUGAUGGAGGGGGAUAACUACUGGAAACGGUAGCUAAUACCGCAUAACCUCGCAAGAGCAAAGAGGGGGACCUUCGGGCCUCUCGCCAUCAGAUGUGCCCAGAUGGGAUUAGCUAGUAGGUGAGGUAAUGGCUCACCUAGGCGACGAUCCCUAGCUGGUCUGAGAGGAUGACCAGCCACACUGGAACUGAGACACGGUCCAGACUCCUACGGGAGGCAGCAGUGGGGAAUAUUGCACAAUGGGCGCAAGCCUGAUGCAG
rnacentral:rRNA from 2 species